rnacentral:lncRNA from 1 species
GAGUACAGUUUGGAAAGCUCUGCUCCUCCCCAAGGAGGCUGUUCAGAUCUACCACCAAAAUGUUGUCUUUGGCUUGUCCCCAAGGGUUCCUGUGAGUUAGUGGUGGGACUGGCAGUGGCUGUUGAGUACACAGGCAGGCAAAGAGCUCGCCACGUGUUGGCUUCCCUUCUGUUGGCUGACAGCAUGUGCAUCUCCAGUGGCUUCUGGUCAAGGCCCUACCUUCCACUCUCUUCACUUUCGCUACCUUGUAUGGCUGAUAUCUGUACCGGUCUAUCCUAGGUCAGGAGCUCGGUGAGGCUGCAGGACUGCCCCAGAAGAGAAGCCUUUAGUGUUAUUAGUUGGAAAGCAAAAUGAUACAAAGAAUCUGGUUCCUUUAGAAUAUUCGCUUUCCCUGCUGCCUCUCUGUUUAUUCCUUUAAGAAUCAGGCCAGAUUGCUGAUGGUGGCCUUUUGUCUUUUUUUCCUUUUUCUUUUCCUUUCCUUUUCCUUUUCCUUUUCCUUUUCUUUCCCUUUCCUUUCCUUUCCUUUCCUUUCCUUUCCUUUCCUUUCCUUUCCUUUCCUUUCCUUUCCUUUCCUUUCCUUUCCUUUCCUUUCCUUUCCCUCUUUCUUUCCCUCUUUCCCUCUUUCCCUCUUUCCCUCUUUCCCUCUUUCCCUCUUUCCCUCUUUCCCUCUUUCUUUCUUUCUUUCUUUCUUUCUUUCUUUCUUUCUUUCUUUCUCUCUCUCUCUCUCUCUCUCUCUCUCUCUCUCUCUCUCUCUCCCUCUCCCUCUCCCUCUCCCUCUCCCUCUCCCUCCUCCUCCUCCUCCUUCUUCCUCCUCUUCUUCUUUGUUCUGCCUUCCUUAAAAGUAAGCAUGAAUUUAAUGUCCCAAGAGGCAGGCUGGUGACCCUUCAAGCCAAGUGCCUGGAUGUGGCAAAACUACAAUAAAUAUUGAAUGGUGAGCACAAUAGAAAUUUAACAAAGCAUGACAGAGGAGACCUCAGUGGGGCCAGGACGGGCUCGGAGGCUGCUGGAUGAACUGGGCAGUAUUUCUACUUCAACCGGAUUGAAAUGUCGACUAAAAAUCAAUGCUGUUGACUACUGAUAAUUUACAAUGUUUCUGGCGCUAAGUAAUUCCCAGCUUAAGAACUCGUUGGCUGUGCAGACAUUAGUGCAGGGAGUCCUGUGUGUCAGGACGAGUCAGGCACAUUAUGGGUCAGUCCUUUAUCUGUCUCAUCAUGACUUUUACACAGUUGUCAUGUAAUUUAUGGCUGCUUUCACGUUGUCAAACAUUUUCAUUGUGUCGUUUCCUUAACACACUCCUGACAUAGACACAGACCGAAGGCUUGGCGUUGUUUCCUAAUCUGAGAGGAGACCUAUAAACCACCAAAUUACAUACUAUCUUUGGGCUAGUCGAGAUGUGCUGCAGAUUAAACUCAGAACUCAUUUGUCCCCGAUGCAAAUUAUUAAGUUCCAAUUACAAAUAUCCAUUUAAUUACCCCAUACAUUUUUGUUUUGCAGAUGCUUUUGAGGAUGCUGUCCUGGGUGGAAGGAGGGUGGGGAAGGUAUAGGAGACAAAUUUAUGGCAAUUAAUGUACACGUCCCGGAUGGUAAAGAGUAAACAUAAGAGAUGUUGUCUGAUUACUUCUUUGAUUAGAUGUAUAGAGGAUUUGGCAUGGGGAUGAAAAAAGGUUGAAAACCUUUUAAAAAAGUGGACACUUUAAAAAUAUUUUAAGGAAGAGGGAGCAAAAUACAGUUAACUAGUAGCUGUCUGCUGGAACACUUCUCUUACAAAUAUGUAAUUCUGCAUUUGAUCCAAUCACCCCACUUUGGAAUUUGAUCCUAUCUAGCGUUUGUAGAAGUCGAUGGUAAGUGCCACCAUGCCUAUGCUGUGCCUAGGAUAUGAAAUCAUUAUUAUAGAAAGAAAGGCAAUUUGUGGAGUGGCAAGCCAUAUACCCUCUUUCUGCUGUGACCCUUGUGUUAGAAAGUAAGUCUGCCCACUAUGUGAAGAGAUAUCAGUUUCGAUAAACUGUUUGUGAUCAACAAAAAAAUAAAGUAGGUGAUAACCAUACAAAGCCAGCAAAGGUUUUACAGAUCAAUAUUUACUUUCCCAUAAAAAUAAUGGCAAAAUUAUCAAGACUUGCUAAAAGGUCAUAAAGAUCUGAGAUCUUUUGGGCAUUGUAGGUUUUUCUUGAUAAGAAGUAUUAACCUCAAAUAUUAAAAUGACACUCAGGGUUGGAGAGAUGGCUCAGUGGUUAGGAGAACUUGUGCUCUUUCAGAGGGCCCAGUUUCAAUUCCCAGCACUCAUAUUCACAACCAUUCGUAACACUAGUUCCUGGGGAUCCAACAAGCAUGCACACGGUGCAUGUACAUGCAUGUAGGCAAAUCAUUUAUACAUGUUAAAUCUAAAUAAAAAAUUAAGACAAAAAAGCCACUGGGCUGAUAGCCAUGGUAUCUGAUCUCUGGCUCCUCCAGGAGUCUUGAGCUCUCAUGACACCCAUUUUCCUAAAAGAUUAAAGAUGCCUCCUUUUUUUAAAAUGAUGUGUCUGCGACUGUAGGUGCAUGUGUGCACGUGACUGCUGGUGUCCUCUGAUGUCAGAGGUUUCCCAUUUUCCUGGAGCUGGAGUUAAGGCUGCUGUGAGGUGCCCAUGAUGCAGGGAGAGGAGCCCUCAGCUGCUGCACCAUCUUUCUCCCCCCUCUGUCACAUCUUGGUAUCCUGCUCUUUCUCAUGUGUGGAUGGGGUGUUUGGAACUGGGUGGCUCCUUACGCCCCAUCAGGACAAGCAGCCCACCAGUUUCCUCCCUUCUCUCUGGAAUUUACAUGCUGAGUGUGUCUCACCUACAAAGAGGGCUGAGCAUGUCUUGACUUGCCUCAAAGGUGGGAGCUCUAGUGGGUAGUAGGAUGCAAACUGGUAUCUUUCAAAUUACUGAAAGGAAAACCGAAACACUGAAUAAUGGAAUGGUGACAAGCUACAGAACUUUCCACCUUACGCAGCUCUAUCUUUUAAUUGUUGCAAGCUGUUUUUGAUAAACUCCAAGGAAUAUAAUGUGUAUUUUCUUCAAUCCUGCUUUUUUCCCUUGGCAACUCUAACUGUAUCAAUAUAGAAAUACACUUUAAAAAAAGUCACUUGCAUUCAAACAAGCAGGUAUUUUAAAUUCAAUUAACUGGCUGAAUUCAGUGAUAUUUUGCUCCUUCCUUCUCCUAAAAGCUGGCUUCUCUGUUAUGGACACAGCCUGCAUAUGCUGAGUUCUUGGAGUUUCACAUUCUUGCUUGUUAAAGGCAUCCGAUGCAGCAAGUUUAGCACAGCUUUCCCUCUGUUAUUGUUGGAAGACAGCAUAAGUUGAGGGGAACUGUUCUUUUUUUAAUUCAUCAUGUAGGUAAAAGCAUAUGGCCUGUUCUAGGACAUGUGAUCUUUGCAGGCUAUCUUUCUAAACACUGUGUUUACAACUGACUUUCAGCAUGGACGAAUCUACCUUCUCUCCAGUCCAGAAAGUGCCAUUUAUAUGUCAUUAAGUCAGAUGUAAGACAAUAUUUUCAGAAGUGUGCCAAAAAGAAAUAUUUGCAAUUAUCCUUUGGGUAAUAAUUGUCUAAAACUUUCUCUUAUGAUCCUCUGUGCUCAGAAUAAGGGGUAAAUGAGCCCAUUGUGAAAUGUGUGUUCCUUGUCGGAUGAGACACACUUGAGAUCUAUAAUUUAAAUAAAAAGUAAUUUAUUUCAAUUACUGCCUUCCUAAUUUAUAAUGUUUUGGGAUAUUUUUUCCCUAGAUGUGCUCUGUAAGGGAACUGAUGAUAAGUUGUCUGAGAUUUUUAAAUGCUCUUCUACCUCUGACAAUUAUAAAAAUUAAAAUGAAAGCCCUC